rnacentral:rRNA from 1 species
UUGAACGCUGGCGGCAGGCCUAACACAUGCAAGUCGAACGGUAACAGGAAGCAGCUUGCUGUUUCGCUGACGAGUGGCGGACGGGUGAGUAAUGUCUGGGAAACUGCCUGAUGGAGGGGGAUAACUACUGGAAACGGUAGCUAAUACCGCAUAACGUCGCAAGACCAAAGAGGGGGACCUUCGGGCCUCUUGCCAUCGGAUGUGCCCAGAUGGGAUUAGCUAGUAGGUGGGGUAACGGCUCACCUAGGCGACGAUCCCUAGCUGGUCUGAGAGGAUGACCAGCCACACUGGAACUGAGACACGGUCCAGACUCCUACGGGAGGCAGCAGUGGGGAAUAUUGCACAAUGGGCGCAAGCCUGAUGCAGCCAUGCCGCGUGUAUGAAGAAGGCCUUCGGGUUGUAAAGUACUUUCAGCGGGGAGGAAGGGAGUAAAGUUAAUACCUUUGCUCAUUGACGUUACCCGCAGAAGAAGCACCGGCUAACUCCGUGCCAGCAGCCGCGGUAAUACGGAGGGUGCAAGCGUUAAUCGGAAUUACUGGGCGUAAAGCGCACGCAGGCGGUUUGUUAAGUCAGAUGUGAAAUCCCCGGGCUCAACCUGGGAACUGCAUCUGAUACUGGCAAGCUUGAGUCUCGUAGAGGGGGGUAGAAUUCCAGGUGUAGCGGUGAAAGGCGUAGAGAUCUGGAGGAAUACCGGUGGCGAAGGCGGCCCCCUGGACGAAGACUGACGCUCAGGUGCGAAAGCGUGGGGAGCAAACAGGAUUAGAUACCCUGGUAGUCCACGCCGUAAACGAUGUCGACUUGGAGGUUGUGCCCUUGAGGCGUGGCUUCCGGAGCUAACGCGUUAAGUCGACCGCCUGGGGAGUACGGCCGCAAGGUUAAAACUCAAAUGAAUUGACGGGGGCCCGCACAAGCGGUGGAGCAUGUGGUUUAAUUCGAUGCAACGCGAAGAACCUUACCUGGUCUUGACAUCCACGGAAGUUUUCAGAGAUGAGAAUGUGCCUUCGGGAACCGUGAGACAGGUGCUGCAUGGCUGUCGUCAGCUCGUGUUGUGAAAUGUUGGGUUAAGUCCCGCAACGAGCGCAACCCUUAUCCUUUGUUGCCAGCGGUCCGGCCGGGAACUCAAAGGAGACUGCCAGUGAUAAACUGGAGGAAGGUGAGGAUGACGUCAAGUCAUCAUGGCCCUUACGACCAGGGCUACACACGUGCUACAAUGGCGCAUACAAAGAGAAGCGACCUCGCGAGAGCAAGCGGACCUCAUAAAGUGCGUCGUAGUCCGGAUUGGAGUCUGCAACUCGACUCCAUGAAGUCGGAAUCGCUAGUAAUCGUGGAUCAGAAUGCCACGGUGAAUACGUUCCCGGGCCUUGUACACACCGCCCGUCACACCAUGGGAGUGGGUUGCAAAAGAAGUAGGUAGCUUAACCUUCGGGAGGGCGCUUACCACUUUGUGAUUCAUGACUGGGGUG